rnacentral:misc_RNA from 1 species
GGAAAGUUUUAUUGCAAAAAAUUCGUGAUGUAAUAAACUUUUGCUAUAGUUUAUUUCGAUAGCUUGAAGACUAGCUAUUACAACUAAAAUGAGUAAUGGUGAUAGAGGUACGCUGAUAACGUAUACACCUGAAAAGUUCUUAAACAAAAUGAGCCAUGGAUUUGAAUCUUUGCAACUAGUGAUAACAAAUUUCGAGCAUUUCGGCCUUUCCUCAAGCGAGAAACCCCAGUCUUUCUCCAUUCUUUUUGGCCAAUCUGAUCAGUCCUUGCCUUUGUUUUG